CUCUGGAAGGUGUAGUGGUUAGCGUUCUGGACUAGUAUGGUUGAGGUCGAGGGUUCGACUCCUUCUUAGGACG